CCCUUAGAUGUUCUGGGCUGCACGCGCGCUACACUGAAGCGUUCAACGAGUAUUCACCUUGCCCGGGAGGGUUGGGUAAUCUUUUGAAAACGCUUCGUGAUGGGGAUAGAUUAUUGCAAUUAUUAAUCUUCAACGAGGAAUUCCUAGUAAGCGCGAGUCAUCAGCUCGUGCUGAUUACGUCCCUGCCCUUUGUACACACCGCCCGUCGCACCUACCGAUUGAAUGGUCCGGUGAAGCCUCGGGAUUGUGGCUGGUUUCCUUUAUUGGAGGUCGGUUGCGAGAACUUGUCUAAACCUUAUCAUUUAGAGGAAGGUGAAGUCGUAACA
rnacentral:rRNA from 1 species